rnacentral:rRNA from 1 species
UACGGGGGGGGUAAGCGUUGUUCGGAAUUACUGGGCGUAAAGGGCUCGUAGGCGGUCCAUCGCGUCGGGAGUGAAAAGCUGGGGCUUAACCCCAGUCCUGCUUCCGAUACGGGUGGACUAGAGGUAGGUAGGGGAGAACGGAAUUCCUGGUGUAGCGGUGAAAUGCGCAGAUAUCAGGAGGAACACCGGUGGCGAAGGCGGUUCUCUGGGCCUUACCUGACGCUGAGGAGCGAAAGCAUGGGGAGCAAACAGG